rnacentral:snRNA from 1 species
AUGCUUACCUGGCAGGGGAGAUACCAUGAUCACGAAGGUGGUUUUCCCAGGGUGAGGCUUAUCCAUUGCACUCCAGAUGUGCUGUGAUUUCCCCAAAUGUGGGAAAUUCUUGACUGCAUAAUUUGUGGUAGUGGGGGACUGCGUUCACACUCUCCUCUA